UGGUGGACGUGAGCGUUUUUAUGGUGUCAUCAGCUUUAUGAUUUUGCACGUUGCGACGAAAAUCCGGUUGCAAUAAAUGCCUGCGCUAAUUAAAAUUCGAAUUUUUAUAAAGUUGUUAAGAUGUCGUCGGCGGUUUCAUAAAUAAAUUUCAAUUUGCACUUUGCUCCUUAUGUAGUAACAACACAAACACGAUGUAAAUUGCAAAAUGCCAACACCAUGCAUAAAAUCUCAAGUAGUGAAUAACAACAAUAACUGUGAGUUCGACAUCUCUGUGCUACAUAUCGUGUUGCAGUUUAAAGAUUAGCAGCAAUUCAAGACUCAAAGGUGGCAAGUGUCUGACCCCUGAGAUGCACAUAUUAUUUUAUAUUCCAUGGAGUUGGAGGUAUUUUCAGGGCCGCGUUACCAUAAACCAAUCCAUUACAGAAGCAGCAGCGAAAAGACCGUCACAGUAUUAGAAAGUCAGCGGCCGGCGAGGCAGGAAAGACGUUAGUGGACUGCAGGGACGGAUUAGGUCGCGGAAGCUCGAAACUUUUCUCCAGUUUUGCAUGAUUUAUGUUUUAUAAAACAUUUGAAUUAAAAAAAAUACAACUCAACUAAUAAAUAAAAAACAAACAAUAUU